UACGGAGGGUGCAAGCGUUAUCCGGAUUCACUGGGUUUAAAGGGUGCGUAGGUGGGCAAGUAAGUCAGUGGUGAAAUCUCCGGGCUUAACCCGGAAACUGCCAUUGAUACUAUUUGUCUUGAAUACUGUGGAGGUCAGCGGAAUAUGUCAUGUAGCGGUGAAAUGCUUAGAUAUGACAUAGAACACCAACUGCGAAGGCAGCUGGCUACACAAAUAUUGACACUGAGGCACGAAAGCGUGGGGAUCAAACAGG
rnacentral:rRNA from 1 species